UGUCAGUGCUUCCAACAGCAGUGGACGUACUACCUCUACAGCUGAACUUCUGGUUCAAGGUGAGGAGGUUGCAGUGCCUGCAAAGAAGACCAAGACUUUUGUUUCAACUUCUCAGAUUUCACAGACUCGCCAGGCUAGAGUUGAAAAGAGAAUGGAGGCCUCUUUUGAGUCCACAGCCAUGAUGGAAAUGCAAAUAGAGGAUGGUGAUUUGGCUCACAAGGCACCACCCCGUGUGCCUCCUAAGCCGACCACCAAGUCCCCAACCCCACCGGGAGGAGUGUCAAAGGUCGCAGCUACGCGCCAUCAGUCACCUUCCCCUGUGAGGCCUGUUAAAGCCCCCAUUCACACACCUCACAGGUGAAGUAUAUUUUCAACACCAUUACUACUUUUUAGUAGAUACCUUUACACAUACCAAUACCUUGUAUGAGUGCACAUAUUCCAAAUAAAUGAA